GUAGGUGGCAAGCGUUGUCCGGAUUUAUUGGGUUUAAAGGGUGCGUAGGCGGUCAAUUAAGUCAGUGGUGAAAUACGGCAGCUUAACUGUCGAGGUGCCAUUGAUACUGGUUGACUUGAGUACUGAUGAGGUAGGCGGAAUGGACGGUGUAGCGGUGAAAUGCUUAGAGAUCGUCCAGAACACCGAUAGCGAAGGCAGCUUACUAAGGAGUAACUGACGCUGAGGCACGAAAGUGUGGGGAUCAAACAGGAUUAGAUACCCUGGUAGUCCACACUGUAAACGAUGAUUACUCGAUGUGUGCGAUACACAGCACGCGUCUUAGCAAAAGCGAUAAGUAAUCCACCUGGGGAGUACGCCGGCAACGGUG
rnacentral:rRNA from 1 species